AUAGACGCGGACAAAGGAAUUGGCUGAACAGAAGUGAGCCAUCAGAGAGGACAAUAGGAGGCCAAUUCAUCAAUUUCAAGAGCGGCUUCACCUUUAGUGCAGUUUAAGACACCAGACCUCUCACAGAAGACGUGCAGAAGGAGUGUUAUUUCGCUGUUGGACAUUUGGACAUCAGCCCUUGUGUUAGUCCAUCUGUGGUGCUGUUGAUGUGACAUUCUUGGCACCUGUACUGUAUCCGCCGGCCUCCUUGAUAUUUCACACGGAUGACUUUGAUUGCAGAGCGUACGGGGAUCUCCAGGGACAUUGCCGAACGGAGCGACUGCAGGGCUUGCAUCAGGUCGAAUCCUUUCUGAAUAUUUAGGGGGCUGCUGUGGUCCGCAGGGUCAUCUCAAUAUGUCUAUUAUUCUCUCAGCACCUGGGAUUAUGCAGUGUCUCUGAGUCUUAAAGGAUUUGGAGAAAUCAGAAAGGGCAAGUCCGGCAAGACUACACGAAGCCCAACUAUGGAUUCAGAUAAGCCGGCUUAUUGCGUGGUCGGUGCAACUGUACUCCGUGCGGUGGAACAGCUGCUGUCCGUGAGCAGUGGCUUCAUGACGGCUGGGUUCAUGCUGAUUUUAGCACAGCUCCUGGCAUCCUCUGGUUCUUGAUUCUCUGGGGCGGAGGCUUUGAAUAGCUCUCCACCCCUUUCUGUUUCCUCCUGUGUUCUGGCAACUCUGAUUCGUUGCCUGUUGGGUGCCGCAGCAGUGCAGCUGACAAAGCAAAGAGUGCAGAACUAUCCAGAAAGCCUGAUGCGACUGUGUGUGUGUGUGUGUGUGUGUAUGUUUGAAUGUGUGUGUGGAAGGACGUGAGCACUAUUCUGAGUUACUAGGAUGAGGAUGUCUGUGACUUUAUGUAUCGAAGAUGUCUGUGGUUUUUAGUGACGUAACAGGGUUAUCUGAGUGUGGCUUUUAGGGAAGGAAUGCAGUGUGUGCAUUAUGAAACCUAUUGAAACAAGGCUUAUGGAAAAAAUUAAAAGACCAUUUCAAAAUGUUUUUUUUUUAAAUUUACU